rnacentral:rRNA from 1 species
AGCUAGUUGGUGAGGUGAUGGCUCACCAAGGCAAUGACACCUAACUGGUUUGAGAGGAUGAUCAGUCACACUGGGUACGAGACACGGUCCAGACUCCUACGGGAGGCAGCAGUGGGGAAUAUUGCACAAUGGACGAAAGUCUGAUGCAGCAACGCCGCGUGGAGGAUGACACAUUUCGGUGCGUAAACUCCUUUUAUAUAGGAAGAUAAUGACGGUACUAUAUGAAUAAGCACCGGCUAACUCCGUGCCAGCAGCCGCGGUAAUACGGAGGGUGCAAGCGUUACUCGGAAUUACUGGGCGUAAAGAGCGUGUAGGCGGGUAAAUAAGUUGGAAGUGAAAUCCUAUGGCUCAACCAUAGAACUGCUUCCAAAACUGUUAACCUAGAAUGUGGGAGAGGUAGAUGGAAUUUCUGGUGUAGGGGUAAAAUCCGUAGAUAUCAGAAGGAAUACCGAUUGCGAAGGCGAUCUACUGGAACAUAAUUGACGCUGAGACGCGAAAGCGUGGGGAGCAAACAGGAUUAGAUACCCUGGUAGUCCACGCCCUAAACGAUGUACACUAGUUGUUGUGAGGCUAGACCUUGCAGUAAUGCAGUUAACACAUUAAGUGUACCGCCUGGGGAGUACGGUCGCAAGAUUAAAACUCAAAGGAAUAGACGGGGACCCGCACAAGCGGUGGAGCAUGUGGUUUAAUUCGACUAUACGCGAAGAACCUUACCUGGUCUUGACAUAGAAAGAACUUUCCAGAGAUGGAUUGGUGCCUGCUUGCAGGAGCUUUCAUACAGGUGCUGCACGGCUGUCGUCAGCUCGUGUCGUGAGAUGUUGGGUUAAGUCCCGCAACGAGCGCAACCCUCGUCGUUAGUUGCUAACAGUUCGGCUGAGAACUCUAACGAGACUGCCUACGCAAGUAGGAGGAAGGUGAGGACGACGUCAAGUCAUCAUGGCCCUUACGACCAGGGCUACACACGUGCUACAAUGGGGUAUACAAAGAGCAGCGAUACGGUGACGUGGAGCGAAUCUCAAAAAUGCCUCCCAGUUCGGAUAGUAGUCUGCAACUCGACUACUUGAAGUUGGAAUCGCUAGUAAUCGUAGAUCAGCUAUGCUACGGUGAAUACGUUCCCGGGUCUUGUACUCACCGCCCGUCACACCAUGGGAGUUGAAUUCAUUCGAAGCGGGGAUGCUAAAAUAGCUACCUUCCACAGUGGAUUUAGCGACUGGGGUGAAGUCGAAACAAGGUAACCGUAGGAGAACCUGCGGUUG